GUGCGGGUAGCUCAGCCGGUAGAGCAGCGGUCUCCAAAACCGCAGGUCGCAGGUUCGACCCCUGCCCCGCAUG
rnacentral:tRNA from 1 species